CUGGACACUGAGCACAUCACUAUACCAAGCCACUUCCCAGACCCUGCUCUCAGUGUGAGGCAGCCAAUGUGCCUGACUCAUGGCACUAGAGGACUAACUAUCCCUGCUCCCAGAGAGGGGCUAGGCCAGCAAGAACCCUCAUCUCCCUCUCUGAUAAAGACUAAAGGGCCUGGUGCAACCCAUAACACCCCUGUCCACAGACAUCACCAUCUGCUGUGAGGAACCCUGGAUGACCCUGGAUGUCAUGGGAUCAGAGGUUAGCUCCUCUUGUGAACAAGUGAUUUCCCAGAACUAUGCAAGCAGACAGGACAUCAGUGACCUGCCCCUCCAAGACCCUGAGGAGAUAUGGUUCACUCAUGGAAGUAGCUUUUUCCAUCAAAAGGAUAAAGACAGCUCCCCUUGAACCAUCUGAAGAAAGAGACCACCUAAAAGAAGGAAGCUUUUCCUGUGAACAUUUGGAAGACCUGAGGCUCCUCCUUAGUUUUUGGUUUGUUUGUUUUGUUUUUUUUUGGUACCAGGGAUUGAACUUGGGUCCUUGCACUUUCAAGGCAGGCGGCAGAAC